rnacentral:tRNA from 1 species
GGGGUAGUGGCCAAGUUGGUAAGGCGUCGGUCUCCAAAACCGAAGAUCCUAGGUUCGAGUCCUAGCUGCCCCG